rnacentral:rRNA from 1 species
GGCCGCGGGAAUUCGAUUCAGGCCUAACACAUGCAAGUCGAACGGAAAGGCCCUGCUUGCAGGGUACUCGAGUGGCGAACGGGUGAGUAACACGUGGGUGAUCUGCCCUGCACUUCGGGAUAAGCCUGGGAAACUGGGUCUAACACCGGAUAGGACCAUCGUUUAGUGUCGGUGGUGGAAAGUUUUUCGGUGCAGGAUGAGCUCGCGGCCUAUCAGCUUGUUGGUGGGGUAAUGGCCUACCAAGGCGUCGACGGGUAGCCGGCCUGAGAGGGUGGACGGCCACAUUGGGACUGAGACACGGCCCAGACUCCUACGGGAGGCAGCAGUGGGGAAUAUUGCACAAUGGGGGCAAGCCUGAUGCAGCGACGCCGCGUGGGGGAUGAAAACGUUCGGGUUGUAAACUCCUUUCAACCAUGACGAAGCAUUAUGUGACGGUAG